rnacentral:rRNA from 1 species
UACGGAGGGUGCAAGCGUUGUCCGGAAUCACUGGGCGUAAAGGGCGCGUAGGCGGCUCGGUAAGUAGGGGGUGAAAUCCUGCGGCUUAACCGCAGGGCUGCCUUCUAAACUGUCGAGCUCGAGCACGGUAGAGGCAGAUGGAAUUCCCGGUGUAGCGGUGGAAUGCGUAGAGAUCGGGAAGAACAUCAGUGGCGAAGGCGGUCUGCUGGACCGUUGCUGACGCUGAGGCGCGACAGCGUGGGGAGCAAACAGG